UUCGUGCGUGUUCUGUUGUGGGGCAGUAAUGAUUGGUGCACUAUGUGCCACAGAGAAAUAAGUCACUCUCAAGUUGCCUGUGGAACCAUCCAAAACAAGCUUGAUUUACUCCUGUAGUGCGCAUGCGGCCAAUGAGGGAACAUGAAGCAAUGAUUCCCCCAAAGGAAGAGCUCUGGAGAGAGUAACAAAAGGCAUCAAAGUGGAAGCUCAGUGAAAAGCAUGGACACUCGACUAGAAUGCAUCUUCUUUAGCGAGUUUCACCCUACUUUGGGUCCCAAAAUAACAUAUCAGGUCCCAGAGGAAUACAUUUCAAGGGAGCUCUUUGACACAGUUCAGGUUUAUAUUAUUACCAAACCAGAGCUGCAGAACAAAUUAAUAACAGUCACUGCGAUGGGCAAGAAGUUAAUCGGGUGUCCAGUUUGCAUAGAACAUAAGAAGUACAGCCGCAACGCCCUCCUCUUCAACCUGGGCUUUGUUUGUGAUGCGCAAGCCAACACUUGUGUCUUGGAGCCAAUUGUCAAGAAGCUCUCUGGCUAUCUCACAACUCUGGAGCUGGAAAGUGGCUUCAUCUCCAAAGAGGAGAGCAAACAGAAACUUCUGCCUAUCAUGUCCACCUUGUUGGAAGAGCUCAACGCGACAGGAGCCUGCACCUUACCCAUAGACGAAUCUAACACCAUCCACCUAAAGUUGAUCCCCCUACGAAAGGAUCCCCUAGUGGUCCAGGAGUACGAUGUUCCUGUCUUCACCCAGAGCAAAGACCACUUCAUUCAAUCCCAAUGGGAUCUUACCACUCAGCAGAUUCUGCCCUAUAUUGACGGCUUUCGACAUGUCCAGAAAAUCUCAGCUGAAGCAGACGUGGAGUUAAAUAUCGUUCGUAUUGCUGUGCAGAAUCUCCUGUAUUAUGAUUUGGUGACUUUAGUGUCCAUAUUUCAGUAUUCCAACGUGUACUGCACCACCCCCAAGGUGCAGAGUUUGAUGGAUGACAAGCUUAUCCAGGAGGACUGUCUCACCUACGUCACCAAGCAAGGCCAGAAGCGUGCCAGUCUGAGAGACGUCUUCCAGCUGUACUGCGGUCUGAGCCCGGGAACCACGGUCCGAGACCUUUGUUCCCGUUACUCGCAGCAGCUGCAGAGAGUUGACGAGAGGAGGCUGAUUCAAUUCGGGCUGAUGAAGUCUCUCAUUCGGCGGCUGCAGAAGUAUCCAGUCAAGGUGUUGCGUGACGAGAAGAGCAGGCCUCCUCGUCUUUAUACGGGCUGUCACAGUUACGAUGAGAUCUGCUGCAAGACAGGGAUCAGCUACAAGGAGCUGGAUGACCGCUUGGAAAAUGAUCCCAACAUCGUUGUGUGCUGGAAGUGACAUCACAAUGUGCUCCUCAAGAACGGUUCUAGACACAUUUUUACCAGAUGGGCCAAGGAGGGACGCACUGAAACAUGGCAACAAAUGAUAUUCAAGUAUAUGAAAAUGAACAAAUCCGCAAGGAACUCUUCACUCAGACUCCACACGUUCCCUCUACCCUACAUCCACAUACACCCACCAAGGUGUCUGGGCCUUCCUCUGCUGAAUGCCCCACAGACUACAGCUGCUUUUAAACAAAACUUAAAAACCUGUCUUCUUAAGAAAGCAUUUUGCUAAAAAGUCCCUGUAGGUUCUCCCCACAACUUUGGAUUUUUGCUCUACAAUACUGUUUACUAUUAAUUUAUAAUCACAUAUUUUCUUGUUUCUUUUCCACUCUAUAGCACUUUGAGAUUCCAGAAAUAUAGUGUUAUAAUUUUUUGUAAAUAAAUUUAAAAAAAGUCUGUGGUAAAUAAAAGAUUACCCUGAAAUAAUCGCACCAUUUGUGCGAAUGCUGAAACAUACUCCAGUCAAAUACUGUAUUUCGGUACUUUGUGCUAUCAAUUUAGCUACCUUUGCAAGUAUACGCCUAUAGCAGGGGUGUCAAACUUAUUUUAGAACGGGGGCCACAUGGAGAAAAAGCUACUCCCAAUGGGCCGGACGGGUUAAAUCACAGCACGAUAACUUAAAAAUAAAGACAACUUCAGAUUGUUUUCUUUGUUUAAAAAUAGAACAAGCACAUUCUGAAAAUGUACAAAUCAUAAUGUUGUUUGGGGUUUUUUACACUU